rnacentral:rRNA from 1 species
AUUGAACGCUGGCGGCAUGCUUUACACAUGCAAGUCGAACGGUAACAGGCCUUCGGGUGCUGACGAGUGGCGCACGGGUGAGUAAUGCAUCGGAACGUACCCAGAGGUGGGGGAUAACGCAGCGAAAGCUGUGCUAAUACCGCAUGUGAUCUGAGGAUGAAAGCGGGGGACCGAGCAGCAAUGUUUGGCCUCGCGCCUUUGGAGCGGCCGAUGUCGGAUUAGCUAGUUGGUGGGGUAAAGGCCUACCCAGGCGACGAUCCGUAGCUGGUCUGAGAGGACGACCAGCCACACUGGGACUGAGACACGGCCCAGACUCCUACGGGAGGCAGCAGUGGGGAAUUUUGGACAAUGGGCGCAAGCCUGAUCCAGCAAUGCCGCGUGCGGGAAGAAGGCCUUCGGGUUGUAAACCGCUUUUGGCAGGAACGAAACGGUGUCCGCUAAUACCGGGCGCUAAUGACGGUACCUGCAGAAUAAGCACCGGCUAACUACGUG